UUUCGCAUCCUGGGGGAGGACCCCAUCUCUGAGAUAGGUUAUCAGUGGGUCGAUCCAGCUGGGCUCGUGGUCGAUUUCCAUCACGGGCCGCGACUCUUCUGUACUCGGGCAUUUUAGAACUUCAAAAAGAACGUCUUUGGGCAAUUCGGCCGGAGCCAACGUUGCCAGCCUGGAGAGAAGGUCAGCCCUGGUAUUUUUCAGCCUCGAAAUUUGUCUGAUGUUGAAGCUGCCGAAGGCGGGGACGAGCUCCUUUAUCCUUUCAAGGUAUUUAGCCAUGCUGUCCUCCCGCGCUUCAUAAUUUUCAUUGACUUGUCCCACCACU
rnacentral:lncRNA from 1 species